CCUACGGGAGGCAGCAGUCGAGAAUCAUUCACAAUGGGGGAAACCCUGAUGGUGCGAUGCCGCGUGGGGGAAUGAAGGUCUUCGGAUUGUAAACCCCUGUCAUGUGGGAGCAAAUUAAAAAGAUAGUACCACAAGAGGAAGAGACGGCUAACUCUGUGCCAGCAGCCGCGGUAAUACAGAGGUCUCAAGCGUUGUUCGGAAUCACUGGGCGUAAAGCGUGCGUAGGCUGUUUCGUAAGUCGUGUGUGAAAGGCGCGGGCUCAACCCGCGGACGGCACAUGAUACUGCGAGACUAGAGUAAUGGAGGGGGAACCGGAAUUCUCGGUGGAGCAGUGAAAUGCGGAGAUAUCGAGAGGAACACUCGUGGCGAAGGCGGGUUCCUGGACAUUAACUGACGCUGAGGCACGAAGGCCAGGGGAGCGAAAGGGAUUAGAUACCCCUGUAGUC
rnacentral:rRNA from 1 species